rnacentral:rRNA from 1 species
UACGAAGGGGGCUAGCGUUGUUCGGAAUUACUGGGCGUAAAGGGCGCGUAGGCGGUGUGUCAAGUCAGGCGUGAAAGCCCCGGGCUCAACCUGGGAAUUGCGAUGGAGACUGCAAGGCUAGAAUCUGGCAGAGGGGGGUAGAAUUCCACGUGUAGCAGUGAAAUGCGUAGAGAUGUGGAGGAACACCGAUGGCGAAGGCAGCCCCCUGGGUCAAGACUGACGCUCAUGCACGAAAGCGUGGGGAGCAAACAGG